rnacentral:misc_RNA from 1 species
GCAGAAUCAGAACUAGAAUCACUAGCAAGGUAAUAGAACACCACCGAGCUUCCAGCCAAGAAAUUCUAAUCCACCUCUUUAACAUCCUCCUCAGCCUUAAGAGCAAAAAUCCAAUCUAUAGGUUAUGAUAGAGAACUUCUUGGUAACACAACAAUAGCAGAAUGAGGUAAUCGAGCAACACACUUCCAAGCUAGACCUAUAAGUGACCCACAAUAGAAUGCUUAAGGACUAAAUAGCUCAACAAGCGAGUUCUUCCAAUAAAGCCUUAGGUAAGCUACCUUGCUAACUCGAG